rnacentral:rRNA from 2 species
AGACCCGAAACCCGGUGAUCUAGCCAUGGGCAGGUUGAAGGUUGGGUAACACUAACUGGAGGACCGAACCGACUAAUGUUGAAAAAUUAGCGGAUGACUUGUGGCUGGGGGUGAAAGGCCAAUCAAACCGGGAGAUAGCUGGUUCUCCCCGAAAGCUAUUUAGGUAGCGCCUCGUGAAUUCAUCUCCGGGGGUAGAGCACUGUUUCGGCAAGGGGGUCAUCCCGACUUACCAACCCGAUGCAAACUGCGAAUACCGGAGAAUGUUAUCACGGGAGACACACGGCGGGUGCUAACGUCCGUCGUGAAGAGGGAAACAACCCAGACCGCCAGCUAAGGUCCCAAAGUCAUGGUUAAGUGGGAAACGAUGUGGGAAGGCCCAGACAGCCAGGAUGUUGGCUUAGAAGCAGCCAUCAUUUAAAGAAAGCGUAAUAGCUCACUGGUCGAGUCGGCCUGCGCGGAAGAUGUAACGGGGCUAAACCAUGCACCGAAGCUGCGGCAGCGACACUGU